rnacentral:lncRNA from 1 species
AUGCAAAUUUGUCUUACUCUCCAGUGCCCCUUAGCCAUCAAGACCUUGGUGCAUGUGGCUGCUGAAGGGAGCUUGCGAGAUGGCAUGUGGUGCCAAUGUGACUACAGGCUGAUUCAGAGCAGCUGCAAAACCUGCACCAGCUGUGACUCAGGAGCAUCUAAACUCUGCGGCAAACCCCCACCAGAUUAAAUCUGAUGAAGUUACGUGUUUAUUGUGAAACAGGCAUCCACAACUGAAGAGAUACUCUUCUGUAUUGUGGGAUGUUUUGGCUGUUGAGAAAAUCAAAUGCUGAAGUUUGUAUUUGGGAUUAAACAUACAGCUAGAUUGCUGUGUACAUCUCUCUGUUGUGAGACUUCUGGACUGUGUAUAUAGAAACAUCGAUAACUUCCAGUUGUUCUUCCCAUUACUUUUCUGCUGUUCAUGGCUGGUUGGGGUGAUGAGCUAGUUCAUACUGUAGCAACAAACCCACGUGCAUGACUGAGGGAACAAGUGGAUGGCACUUUGAGCUAGUGGAUAUUUGAAGAUAUUCAUUCUCUUCCUCUAAUAGUUUUUUAUUAACUUUUUUCAAUUGUGCAAGAGGACAAAAGGUAGGAAGAUGUCAUGUUUAAGCAAUUUGUUUUCAGUUAAUUUAGUUCUCUCUCUCUACCUGCCUAGUUAUGUCAUAUUGCUGCACAGUGUAGGAAAUGUUUAUCUUUCAGUGCAUACUAUAGUUUCACAAUAACAAAUGCAUGUAUUUAGUUGUCACACACAGAUUUAUGUGAAUUUUAGUUCUGAAAAAGGGUUAUGAAACUGGUAGAGGAAAAUAGGUGGAGUACUGUUCAAAUUCUUGUUAGAAAGAUUUCAGUUUAGGUGUAUUUGAGAAUCUAUAAAUGAAGUUGCCUACUCUAAUCACUACUUUGAGCACAGGAUUUGGGGAUGUUUCUGCACACCAGAAUAGCAUGUGUCCAAAAACACAUGGUGGGAUUGAGGUUGCUGGUAAAAUAAAAAAAAUAUAUUUUAUCA